UACGAAGGGGGCUAGCGUUGCUCGGAAUCACUGGGCGUAAAGGGUGCGUAGGCGGGUUUUAAGUCAGGGGUGAAAUCCUGGAGCUCAACUCCAGAACUGCCUUUGAUACUGAAGAUCUCGAGUCCGGGAGAGGUGAGUGGAACUGCGAGUGUAGAGGUGAAAUUCGUAGAUAUUCGCAAGAACACCAGUGGCGAAGGCGGCUCACUGGCCCGGUACUGACGCUGAGACACGAAAGCGUGGGGAGCAACAGG
rnacentral:rRNA from 1 species